CCUACGGGAGGCAGCAGUGAGGAAUAUUGGUCAAUGGACGAGAGUCUGAACCAGCCAAGUAGCGUGAAGGAUGACUGCCCUAUGGGUUGUAAACUUCUUUUAUAUGGGAAUAAAACAGGGUAUGCAUACCCUCUUGUAUGUACCAUAUGAAUAAGGAUCGGCUAACUCCGUGCCAGCAGCCGCGGUAAUACGGAGGAUCCGAGCGUUAUCCGGAUUUAUUGGGUUUAAAGGGAGCGUAGGUGGAUUGUUAAGUCAGUUGUGAAAGUUUGCGGCUGAACCGUAAAAUUGCAGUUGAAACUGGCAGGCUUGAGUACAGUAGAGGUGGGCGGAAUUCGGGGUGUAGCGGUGAAAUGCUUAGAUAUCACGAAGAACUCCGAUUGCGAAGGCAGCUCACUGGACUGCAACUGACACUGAUGCUCGAAAGUGUGGGUAUCAAACAGGAUUAGAUACCCGAGUAGUC
rnacentral:rRNA from 1 species